ACUUCCCCCAGUUGAUUACUUACAUUAAGACAAAGGUUUUUUGGUAUUACAAGUUUUCUGAACUUUUAUGUUUAUUUAUGCAAAAUUAGGCAUUGUCUAAUUAAAUAUGUGCUAAUUUGCAUUAAUAAUGGUGUUUCAGUAUUUAUCAACUUGGACCCUAUUUUCCCAUGCAUUGGUGUCUAAGAAAUCUUGCUUUGCC